UACGUAGGGUGCGAGCGUUAAUCGGAUUUACUGGGCGUAAAGCGUGCGCAGGCGGCCCGUUAAGACAGGUGUGAAAUCCCUGGGCUCAACCUAGGAAUUGCACUUGUGACUGGCGGGCUCGAGUACGGUAGAGGGGGGUGGAAUUCCUGGUGUAGCAGUGAAAUGCGUAGAGAUCAGGAGGAACACCGAUGGCGAAGGCAGCCCCCUGGGCCUGUACUGACGCUCAUGCACGAAAGCGUGGGGAGCAAACAGG
rnacentral:rRNA from 1 species